rnacentral:rRNA from 1 species
UACAGAGGGGGCAAGCGUUGUUCGGAAUUACUGGGCGUAAAGGGCGCGUAGGCGGCCUGCUAAGUCGAACGUGAAAUCCCCGGGCUCAACCCGGGAACUGCGUCCGAUACUGGCAGGCUUGAAUCCGGGAGAGGGAUGUGGAAUUCCAGGUGUAGCGGUGAAAUGCGUAGAUAUCUGGAGGAACACCGGUGGCGAAAGCGGCUCACUGGACCCAAUCUGACACUGAGGUGCGAAAGCAUGGGGAGCGAACAGG